rnacentral:sRNA from 1 species
AUAAAAUGACCAAUUUGUGUUUAAUUUCACGGGACAUGGUUAUAUGGUGUGACGGGUUUGAGUGGAUUAUAACAUGGAAUGGUAUGCUACGGAAAAAAACCUAUAAUUAACAAUCAUAAUAUAAUUAUAUAAUCUUAAACACUAAACAAAAUUAACAAUAUUAAAAAAAACACACUUAAAACUUUAAUUUUUUUAAAACACAUUUCGAUUCUUUUAUAAGAUUUCUCUCGCAGUACUACCACGGGUGAAAUCCUAGAAUUGACGGGUUUGAAUCGAUAUUAAUAUGGGAUGGUGUACUACAGGUGAUAUUUUAGAAUUGACUGAUUUAGGUUGAUAAUAAUUUGCGAUAGAAUUAAGAGUAAAAUUCUAAAAUGAUAAAU